UUAUAUACUGGAUAGAUCUGUUAUGUACUGCAUAUAUAAUAGAUAUAUCCAGUAUAUCUAUUCCAGUAUAUUCCUGUAUAGACCAGUGUGUCUUCCUAAGUGGUCAUGUCUGCUAGAAGUUUAUAUUUUGUGGAGAUUUCCAUUAAGUUGCAAUUUUUUCCUAUCGUAUGGGAUUGAAAAUGGAAGUACUAAAUGGAAAGAUGAUUUAAGACUUUGUUGUAGUUCAUGUAUUUCCAACAAAACUUUCAAUACUGCUGCAUUAGUGGUAUUUUUACUGGCAUUGGUGGAAAGAGGUGGUUGGUAGUUUUAGGUUCCUUUCAGCUUUCUGGUUGGCUUUGCAAAUGUGACUUAAGCAUAUGCUCUAAGUAAAUCUGGGCAUUGAACCUGGAAGUAUUGCUGCCUAAAAUCACUAGUUCUUCAAAUAACUUAUGUUGAAUAUGUGGCUUUUUUCAGGCUCUAAGCUUACAGCUCCAGAUGAGCAAGAAUUUUCCUUUUCUAGCUAGUGUAUGUUUUUCAUGUCCAUAAUGCAUUACAGUGAACAUUAUACACUGCGCCUCAUUUUGAAAACUUGUUUUCUCCCUGUAUUUUCCUGUUACAUAAAAAUCUCAUUGCCCUUUGCUUUCUUUUAAAAGCUUCUGUAACAGAGUCUUCUAUAAACAGUGCACAGUGAUGUGUACACCUUUUAUUAUACCUCCUAUAUUGAACUCGUGUUGGUAUUUGAGGAGAAUGUAUGAUCCAUUUGGCAAGCCUUAGUCCAUUAAACAAUGCUGGCUCUUCUUUAAGAGUACCCUGCCUAAGUUUAAUAAAACUGAUAUUUUUUUUAAAAUCUUGUUUGAUUUGUAUUUAAAACUGUACACAGUGAAGCUUUCCUAGAAAACUUGUAUGGUAUUCUUGAAUGCAUUUGCAAAGCCUGUUUUUAGAAAUCUGCAAUUGGCUACUGUGGAUGAUGGUAAAUGGACUUUACAACUGCAGAAUAAACAUAGUUACCUAUUGUCUGAAAUAGAUGGUGUGGCCAGACUGACCAAACAGUGAAACCUAAUCUAAAUGAGCCUAAUUUUGUCAGAGAUAAUGAAUCAAAAUAGUGAAUGACAGUGCUAGGAAAAUGAUCAGUAUUGAAGUUUACCAUUUAUAUAUGUAAGUUGAUUCACUGAAUGUGCUACUUAAGAACAGAUAUGGUUUGGUUUUCAUUAUGUACUACUCUAGCAGAAAUGCUGAUUUUUUUUUUUUAAAUUAUGAUUAGAGGCACUUUUUUUCCUACUUCAGAAUACUUCUGCUUUGAUAGAAAUGUCUGAAUAUAGUCAGAGAUUAUAUUAUAUUUCAAUUUAUUGUUAUACACCAAUCUACUUAGUUGAAUUGCAUUAGUGUGAGUAGAACAGGAGGAUGGUGCAGGAAGCGUCUGAUGUAUGUAUAUGAAACAAACAUGUUUGGAACACAGGACUUCUUUCCUAGCCAGAUAUGAACCAUCUGGUCUGAAGCUGAGUCUGGAGACAGUAGUUCUGUCUCUAGUAGUCAGUGCUUUUUCCCCCUUGGUAGUAGCCUGCUGUUUGGGGGAUGAGGGAGGACAUGAAAGACCUUCCAGUUCAGUGCUGUUCUGACCAAGAGAAGGCUGAGGAGAGAGGUCCAUUUUGGAAAACUGUCAGGGAACCUGUGUCUGAUCAUGAGUAGGAGGAUGAAGAGAUAAAUGAUUAGAGCACUGGAGUAGUAAGUGUUUGAACUUAAGCUCAAGUUGUUCAGCUGUAGUUCAGCUGAUUCUUUAGUGUUACGUGUUUUGGAGAGUAAUUGAGAAUGAGUUUCCUUGGGUUUUUAGCUACUGAGUGGAAAUGCAGUAGUGGCUUUUGGAUGAAGAUUUUUACUUUGGGAUUGAGGAAGAAGACCAAAGCAAUAAACACAUAAAAGAAGUCAGUCAAAUAGAUUUUGCAUGUUAAGGGUCUCAUGCUGCAAUCUGAAGGAUUGCAGUGGAACCAUUGUUCUGGUUUCCACAGUGCUGUGAUGAGUCCAGCAGCCUUUGGUGUGGUGACCAGCUGUGUUAACUGCAUCAUCUAUGAAUUAUCCUCAGAAUGAUCCUCAGAAUGAUUACUGCUGCACUUUACAUCUGACCUUGCUUCUAAGUUGUGAGGUGAAGAAAUCUGGACUGCUACACUCAGGGAAUUGAUUUUGUAUUCUGGCAGUAUCUUUGAGUAGUCUGUUUGUACAGUCUGGGGGAAUAGGGUGGCUUCAGGAUUCUUCCUUGGCAUAAUAAAGAGGUGGCUUUGAAACCAAAGGGUAUUCCUUUUAUUUUGUGUGCCUAUCUUAGUCACUGAUAGAACAGGUCAGUGCUCCUGUAAUUGUCACAGGAACAUAGCUUCCAACAAUAGCUAAAUCCACAAAUGGAUGGCAAUAUGACAAACACAAAGGAUGUCUUGCAGGUUAUGAAUGCUGUUGCUGUAGCUUUGUUGCUCUAAGCUUAUAAACAUGACAAAGGUUUUAUAAGUCGAGGCAAUACCUUAUUAGAUCACCUGCUGCAGUGGUGGGGAACAGGACAUGGGCAAUUGCACACGUCCAAGGGCUGAGUUCCUCAGAAGGCUGCACAAUUAUUUGGAGACACCAUGUGGAGAUUUUGUACUGUGUGGAUUGUUGCAGGCACAUUGCAGAUACAGGUAAAUGUUAGUGUAUUUGUGAUUUAUUUUUUUAAUAAGUAGCUCGUAGUUUUGAUGUGUCACCUUGUAGCAAUAGUUGGUGUAAUUCUUAUUUCAGAGAUUAAGGAAUUGGGUCCUUGAAAAUAGGUUAGCAGCUGUAGGAUCUACUUAAAUUGCUAUUUGUUUUUGUAUUACUCUACAAAGAUGAUGUCUGCAUAAAGGAAGUGGAGAUUGCAUUACAGAGAGCAAUGUCAGAAAGUAAACCUGUGAAAAUACUUUUCAAAUGUCACUGUUUCCAUGUAAAACAUGGAGAUAUAUUUUCCUUUGAAGCAUCUGGCUACUGGAAAUCACUGGCGGGAAAAGGAUGCUUUGAAUGCCUUUUUUAAGGAGCCCAUCUCUGUUAUUUUUGUGAAGACAUGAACUUGGUCACUAGUGUGACUUUUGUAUAGUAAAUCUGUAAGAUGCAAAUAGAAGUGGACUGCAUUGCAAUGCUUGCAGCUUUAGGCAUGACUAAUGCUUAAUAAUACUUAAUAGUAGGAUUUUAUUUUUCCCCUAUUGAAAUCCCCAGUUACCACAGGACAGAGGAGUGUACAGUUAAGCCAAUUCUGAGUACCCUGGAUAUCUUGCCUUGAAUUUCCAUGCCUUCUUUUAUUCUUUCUUAAUGCAAAGCAAGUGACCUCUCCUCUUGCAGCGCUCCUGCUCCAACAAUAAAAAGAACCUUGGUAUGAAGACUGUUCAUGUCACUUUGAGGAAUGCUUGCAGGUUUGGUGGUUUGUGUAGUACCAGUCUCAGCAUUCACCAGAUUUUGAAUCCAUGUAUUUGAAAUCUCACUUUUUUCCCACCUGAACUGAGCUAACCUCCUGGUCCUUGAGUAUGUCUGUGCUUGGGGUGGGUGUAGGGACUAGACUCAUCAGGUAUUUUGGUUGUAACUCUCAGGGAGCGUAGCCUGGUCUUGUCUUGGAAUGGGGAGGGUGUUUAAGAAAGAACUAGCAAAGAAACAAAAACCUGAGAGAGGAUUCUCUCCAAUUUGCUGGUGCAUAUUUUUAUAUGAGGUAUUGAUUUCCCAGCCACUUGAGUGAUUGCAAUUUUCUUGAUCUUUUGGGAACAUGGGGAAAUCUUGUGCGAUUCAUACUGUCUUACAAAAAACUUACCCAUGGAGAGGCACAGAGUUUAAGUGUACGUACAUUGUUAUAAAAGCUGAAGAUAAACUCAUUUUAAAUUCAAAGUAGUUUGGGUAGGUGCUCAUUUUUAUUAUUUUGUAAGACAAAACCAAUCCCCCAAACAAAACAAAGCAAAACCAUUUAGAAAUAGAGCCAUAGACUUUUCUUUCAAAAUUUGAGUGCCUUAUUUUUUUUUACGUAGUAUGACAGAAAUAUUGUAAAACAAGGAAAGCAUUUCAUGCUUAAGAAUGGAAGUUUUGUGCAUCUAAGAACUUUUUAUUGGUCAUUACUAAAGAAUUAAAAUGUUGUUGGCCAUAUGCACUGCAGCAGGGAAUUUUCUCUUGGCAGCACUAUACCCUCCAGCCACUAAAAUGCACAGAGUCAUUUUAAUGUAGAACAGAGUAAAUGCUGGAGAUAGCAUCUUUGGUGGACUGGUGACAAAUGUUUAUUCUGUGUCGGUUCUGUUUCUCAGGAAGACUGGGGUUAAUUGUAGCUUGGCAAGUAAAAAAAAAAAAAAAGUUCCAUAUUGUUUUUCUGCAGUAGAUUCCUGUUGCUAUGCAACAAACAGAAUGUCACUUAGUACAGGAUAUAUUAAAUUGGUAUUCCCAGCACAUAUCUCUGCCCGUUCAUUUUAUACUUUAGCAGGAGGGUAUGGUUCUGGCUUCCUGUAGCACUGGAGUAUGAAGUCUGUAUUUGAGCUGCUAUUCUGGGGCUGCUGGAGCUGCCUGACGUCAGUGCACUUGCAGAGCCUCUCUUUGUUUUCGGAUGGAUGGGACACCUGUGCAACACAAUCAGGCUUCCAAGCAGACAAAAAGGGGUGGUGGUUAUCUGUUAUCUUCCUCGAGUGCUAAACCCAGCCAGUCUCAGCAUCUGAAUUCUGUACAUUUGUUCUCAAUGGAUUCU